ACCUGAUCCAGCCAUGCCGCGUGAGUGAGAAGGCCUCGGGUGUAAAGCUCUUUCGGCGGGGACGAAACGGUCCGUGCCAACACCACGGACUAAUGACGGUACUCGCAGAAGAAGCACCGGCUAACUACGUGCCAGCAGCCGCGGUAAUACGUAGGGUGCGGGCGUUAAUCGGAAUUACUGGGCGUAAAGCGUGCGCAGGCGGCUCCUUAAGUCAGAUGUGAAAUCCCCGGGCUUAACCUGGGAACUGCGUUUGAAACUGAGGGGCUUGAGUGUGGAAGAGGGGGUGGAAUUCCAGGUGUAGCAGUGAAAUGCGUAGAGAUCUGGAGGAACACCGAUGGCGAAGGCAGCCCCCUGGGCUAACACUGACGCUCAUGCACGAAAGCGUGGGGAGCAAACAGGAUUAGAUACCCUGGUAGUCCACGCCCUAAACGAUGUCAACUGGUUGUCGGGGAAGCAAUUCCUUGGUAACGAAGCUAACGCGUGAAGUUGACCGCCUGGGGAGUACGGCCGCAAGGUUA
rnacentral:rRNA from 1 species